UCAACCUGGUUGAUCCUGCCAGUAGUCAUAUGCUUGUCUUAAAGAUUAACCCAUGCAUGUGUAAGUAUAGUAUUCUACAGCGAAACUGCGAAUGGCUCAUUAAAACAGUUAUAAUUUACUUGAUAGUCACUUUAUCAUUGGAUAACCGUGGUAAUUCUAGAGCUAAUACAUGCAACAAGCCUGACUUCGGAAGG
rnacentral:rRNA from 1 species